rnacentral:rRNA from 1 species
AUUGAACGCUGGCGGCAUGCCUUACACAUGCAAGUCGAACGGCAGCACGGGGCAACCUGGUGGCGAGUGGCGAACGGGUGAGUAAUGCAUCGGAACGUGCCAUUGAGUGGGGGAUAACGUAGCGAAAGUUGCGCUAAUACCGCAUAAUUCUGUGAGCAGGAAAGCAGGGGACCGCAAGGCCUUGCGCUCUUUGAGCGGCCGAUGUCAGAUUAGCUAGUUGGUGAGGUAACGGCUUACCAAGGCGACGAUCUGUAGCGGGUCUGAGAGGAUGAUCCGCCACACUGGAACUGAGACACGGUCCAGACUCCUACGGGAGGCAGCAGUGGGGAAUUUUGGACAAUGGGCGCAAGCCUGAUCCAGCCAUGCCGCGUGAGUGAAGAAGGCCUCGGUUGUAAG